AACAAGGCGUACCUGCGGACCUGCGGAAGGAUCAUUACCGAGUUUACAACUCCCAAACCCCUGUGAACAUACCUAUACGUUGCCUCGGCGGAUCAGCCCGCGCCCUGUAAAACGGGACGGCCCGCCCGAGGACCCUAAACUCUGUUUUUAGUGGAACUUCUGAGUAAAACAAACAAAUAAAUCAAAACUUUUAACAAUGGAUCU
rnacentral:misc_RNA from 1 species